rnacentral:rRNA from 1 species
UUGAUCCUGGCUCAGGACGAACGCUGGCGGCGUGCCUAAUACAUGCAAGUCGAGCGAACCACUUCGGUGGUUAGCGGCGGACGGGUGAGUAACACGUGGGCAACCUGCCUGUAAGACUGGGAUAACUUCGGGAAACCGGAGCUAAUACCGGAUAAUCCUUUUCCUCUCAUGAGGAAAAGCUGAAAGACGGUUUCGGCUGUCACUUACAGAUGGGCCCGCGGCGCAUUAGCUAGUUGGUGAGGUAACGGCUCACCAAGGCGACGAUGCGUAGCCGACCUGAGAGGGUGAUCGGCCACACUGGGACUGAGACACGGCCCAGACUCCUACGGGAGGCAGCAGUAGGGAAUCUUCCACAAUGGACGAAAGUCUGAUGGAGCAACGCCGCGUGAGCGAUGAAGGCCUUCGGGUCGUAAAGCUCUGUUGUUAGGGAAGAACAAG